UUGUGUUAGCCAGUGGGUUUGGUACACAAAAGACGAGCGGAACGAGUUAUCUGAACCUUCGGGGAACGAUAACGGCGUCGAGCGGCGGACGGGUGAGUAAUGCCUAGGAAAUUGCCCUGAUGUGGGGGAUAACCAUUGGAAACGAUGGCUAAUACCGCAUAACGCCUACGGGCCAAAGAGGGGGACCUUCGGGCCUCUCGCGUCAGGAUAUGCCUAGGUGGGAUUAGCUAGUUGGUGAGGUAAGGGCUCACCAAGGCGACGAUCCCUAGCUGGUCUGAGAGGAUGAUCAGCCACACUGGAACUGAGACACGGUCCAGACUCCUACGGGAGGCAGCAGUGGGGAAUAUUGCACAAUGGGCGCAAGCCUGAUGCAGCCAUGCCGCGUGUGUGAAGAAGGCCUUCGGGUUGUAAAGCACUUUCAGUCGUGAGGAAGGUAGUGUAGUUAAUAGCUGCAUUAUUUGACGUUAGCGACAGAAGAAGCACCGGCUAACUCCGUGCCAGCAGCCGCGGUAAUACGGAGGGUGCGAGCGUUAAUCGGAAUUACUGGGCGUAAAGCGCAUGCAGGUGGUUUGUUAAGUCAGAUGUGAAAGCCCGGGGCUCAACCUCGGAAUUGCAUUUGAAACUGGCAGACUAGAGUACUGUAGAGGGGGGUAGAAUUUCAGGUGUAGCGGUGAAAUGCGUAGAGAUCUGAAGGAAUACCGGUGGCGAAGGCGGCCCCCUGACAGAUACUGACACUCAGAUGCGAAAGCGUGGGGAGCAAACAGGAUUAGAUACCCUGUUAGUCCACGCCGUAAACGAUGUCUACUUGGAGGUUGUGGCCUUGAGCCGUGCUUUCGGAGCUAACGCGUUAAGUAGACCGCCUGGGGAGUACGGUCGCAAGAUUAAAACUCAAAUGAAUUGACGGGGGCCCGCACAAGCGUGCAGCAUGUGCUUAUUUCGAUGCAACGCGAAGAACCCUUACCUACUUCUUGACAAUCAGAGAACUUUCCAGGAGAUGAAUUGGUGAUCGGGAAACUCUGAGACAGUGCUGCAUGCUGUCCGUCAGCUCGUGUUGGCAAUGUUGGCUUAGUCCGCAACGAGCCACCCGUUAUCCUGAUGGCAGCAGAUAUGUCGAACUCUAAGGAACUGGCGGUGAUAAACUCG
rnacentral:rRNA from 1 species